rnacentral:sRNA from 1 species
UGACCCUUAUUAAGCCGAGGGUCACCUAGCCAACUGACGUUGUUAGUGAACGCGUUUUGUUCACACAUAAUGUAGCCAAUCACACUGUUGUGAUUGGCUUUUCUUUU